rnacentral:misc_RNA from 1 species
GAUGAAGAACGCAGCGAAAUGCGAUACGUAAUGUGAAUUGCAAAUUCAGUGAAUCAUCGAGUCUUUGAACGCACAUUGCGCCCCCUGGUAUUCCGGGGGGCAUGUCUGUCCUAGCGUCAUUGCUGCCCUCAAGCACGGCUUGUGUGUUGGGCCCCGUCCUCCGAUCCCGGGGGACGGGCCCGAAAGGCAGCGGCGGCACCGCGUCCGGUCCUCGAGCGUAUGGGGCUUUGUCACCCGCUCUGUAGGCCCGGCCGGCGCUUGCCGAUCAACCCAAAUUUUUAUCCAGGUUGACCUCGGAUCAGGUAGGGAUACCCGCUGAACUUAAGCAUAUCAAUAAGCGGAGGA